rnacentral:rRNA from 1 species
UACGGGGGGGGUAAGCGUUGUUCGGAAUUACUGGGCGUAAAGGGCUCGUAGGCGGCCAACUAAGUCAGACGUGAAAUCCCUCAGCUUAACUGGGGAACUGCGUCUGAUACUGGAUGGCUUGGAUUUGGGAGAGGGAUGCGGAAUUCCAGGUGUAGCGGUGAAAUGCGUAGAUAUCUGGAGGAACACCGGUGGCGAAAGCGGCCGUCUGGAACAUUCCUGACACUGAGGUUCGAAAGCUCGGGGAGCAAACAGG